GUCUGAGUGGCGCAGUGGUCACCGCGUCCGCUUUACAAAUCGGCUAUCAUUCUCCUCCCUUGGGAAGGACGUAAGAAAGCCUAUAUUUGACCGCGGAAGAUCACAGGUUCGAUCCCUGUCUUGGACA
rnacentral:tRNA from 1 species